rnacentral:rRNA from 1 species
UACGGAGGGGGCUAGCGUUGUUCGGAAUUACUGGGCGUAAAGCGCACGUAGGCGGCUUUGUAAGUUAGAGGUGAAAGCCUGGAGCUCAACUCCAGAAUUGCCUUUAAGACUGCAUCGCUUGAAUCGCGGAGAGGUGAGUGGAAUUCCGAGUGUAGAGGUGAAAUUCGUAGAUAUUCGGAAGAACACCAGUAGCGAAGGCGGCUCACUGGACGCGUAUUGACGCUGAGGUGCGAAAGCGUGGGGAGCAAACAGG